rnacentral:rRNA from 1 species
AGCUCCAGUAGCGUAUAUUAAAGUUGUUGCAGUUAAAAAGCUCGUAGUUGGAUCUCGGGUCGUCGACAGCGGUUCGGGUUCAUGCCCGCCUACUGCUGCCGACACCUAACCGGCGGGAGGCGCCGGGUGCCCUUGACUGGGUCGCCCGUCGCGCCCGCCCAGUUUACUUUGAAAAAAUUAGAGUGUUCAAAGCAGGCUCCGACGCCUGAAUAAUGGUGCAUGGAAUAAUGGAAUAGGACCUCGGUUCUAUUUUGUUGGUCUCCGGAACUCGAGGUAAUGAUUGAGAGGGACAGACGGGGGCAUUCGUAUUGCGGUGUUAGAGGUGAAAUUCUUGGAUCGCCGCAAGACGAACUACUGCGAAAGCAUUUGCCAAGAAUGUUUUCAUUAAUCAAGAACGAAA